UUAUUUGGAGAUUUGUGCUUGAAUUGAGACUUGAUCCUUUGAUUCGGUAAAUGACAUGAUAGAUGGUUUGUUCUCCAACUCAUCAAUAGCAAGGCUUCGACUGUCGAUCGGUCGUCGCAAUUUUGUGUGCCCGGUGAAUUUCUCCACCAAUUUGCCUUUCUCGGUUCGACUGGUGAUUAUUGCCGUCCUCAAUUUAUGCUUUUUGUUUCUUGCCCUUUGUUGUUUUUUUUCCACAAUUCCGGUUGGUGUAGCUGGUUUUUAGAGUGAUUCCUUUGAAUAUCAUUUGGUUGUUUUAUUGAUUCCCCUCUUGUCUUGAGAAGGGCCCCUAAUCUCUACAAAUAAAUGAAUAAAAUCGAAGCAUGUGAAGAAGAUGAGCUACGGGCCGAUGACGACUAGCGGUACAACGGCGGAAUCAAGUGACGAUGGUGGUUUCGAUGUUGAAUUGGAUCUGCAUAAUGUUUUUUUCUAGCCGGCGUCAAGACGGCGGUGAAAGAGAGGGUAGAGCCGAUGGUGACAUAGACGAGUAGAGAACUGAUGAUCAGCAGCUGCAGUAACAAACAGUCGCCGCCGAACGCCGAUUCAUCUCCAUUGUCGUUGUAUGUGGCCACUGAUUAGAACCUAAUUGCGAUGGACACCCGCAUCUUAUUAAUCAAAGUAAAAUCUUUUAAUGUACUUGCAUUUAAAAGGUGGCCUUUGGGUUAGUAGAUAAUGUGUCUUAAGCAA